GAUUGAACGCUGGCGGCAGGCCUAACACAUGCAAGUCGAACGGUAACAGGAAGAAGCUUGCUUCUUUGCUGACGAGUGGCGGACGGGUGAGUAAUGUCUGGGAAACUGCCUGAUGGAGGGGGAUAACUACUGGAAACGGUAGCUAAUACCGCAUAACGUCGCAAGACCAAAGAGGGGGACCUUCGGGCCUCUUGCCAUCGGAUGUGCCCAGAUGGGAUUAGCUAGUAGGUGGGGUAACGGCUCACCUAGGCGACGAUCCCUAGCUGGUCUGAGAGGAUGACCAGCCACACUGGAACUGAGACACGGUCCAGACUCCUACGGGAGGCAGCAGUGGGGAAUAUUGCACAAAGGGCGCAAGCCUGAUGCAGCCAUGCCGCGUGUAUGAAGAAGGCCUUCGGGUUGUAAAGUACUUUCAGCGGGGAGGAAGGGAGUAAAGUUAAUACCUUUACUCAUUGACGUUACCCGCAGAAGAAGCACCGGCUAACUCCGUG
rnacentral:rRNA from 1 species